GAUUUGUGGCAGCAGCCGUGGAAAAUAGACUCGUGGCAGGCAGGGGCCGAACAGAGCAUUUUCCAAGGAGCCUGCAGCUUGGCUGAAGUGUUUGCAGAGGCUAAUUGGAUGCGGACAAUGGAUUACUAGUUGGUUUAUUGUCGUCGAUGGGGAAGAUCCUUAAUUGGUUAGAGGCCCCGGCGCGGAUCCCUGAAGAUUUCAAAUUAAAUCAAUAGCAGUUUUUGAUAACCUCUCGUUAUAGGAUAAGUCUACAUAUCUCCUUGUCCAGGCGGUCCAAUUUUGGAAAAUUAAGUAGCAUCGCAUCUACUUCUGAGAAAGUGAAAGCCAGUCAGAAAAACGGAAAGCUCCUCGGCUAUUUUCAUAAUCAUAAUUCCUAAUACAUAUACAUAUGCACAUGCAUGCUUCAAGGAAAACACCAUCCUUCUGAAGUACUGAAGUCUGAAUAAACGUCGUUUUGCAGAUCAACUUGGUACACCUAUUGUCUCUUUCCUAGAGUCCUACCUCUUCCUCCAAUGGCAUAAAAAACACCGCCAAUUAUAUAGUUUCUUAUAGAACCUUUCGCUUUGCGGGGUGCUCUUGUCAUAGUGGAGUACUGGUAGAAGAAUAACUUCCGAUCCCGUGCAUACAUCUGUAACGAUUCCGUUGGGUCAUCAAAAAGUGAAGAUCUGUGUAGUUUCUUUUGGGCUGCAAUAACAUCGCUUUAAUUCACACGCUGUUGCUGAGCGUUGGCAUUAUUUUGUAUCUGUA